AGUGAACGCUGGCGGUAGGCCUAACACAUGCAAGUCGAACGGCAGCACAGAGGAGCUUGCUCCUUGGGUGGCGAGUGGCGGACGGGUGAGGAAUACAUCGGAAUCUACUCUGUCGUGGGGGAUAACGUAGGGAAACUUACGCUAAUACCGCAUACGACCUACGGGUGAAAGCAGGGGAUCUUCGGACCUUGCGCGAUUGAAUGAGCCGAUGUCGGGUUAGCUAGUUGGCGGGGUAAAGGCCCACCAAGGCGACGAUCCGUAGCUGGUCUGAGAGGAUGAUAAGCCACACUGGAACUGAGACACGGUCCAGACUCCUACGGGAGGCAGCAGUGGGGAAUAUUGGACAAUGGGCGCAAGCCUGAUCCAGCCAUACCGCGUGGGUGAAGAAGGCCUUCGGGUUGUAAAGCCCUUUUGUUGGGAAAGAAAUCCAUCUGGUUAAUACCCGGGUGGGAUGACGGUACCCAAAGAAUAAGCACCGGCUAACUUCGUGCCAGCAGCCGCCGUAA
rnacentral:rRNA from 1 species